ensembl:lncRNA
GAGGCCUGUUUCAGGUAGCUGGUUUAACAUACUCUGAGUUUAAUCCUGCGAUCUGAGUUGGUUGAUUCAGAGUUCAGGGUUGAAAAGCAACUCUGGGUUUUCGGUUUCAGAACAGGUGAUCAGCGUUGGGUUAAUCAACUCUGAGCGUGUUCACGCUGGGUUGGGGGCGUGCCUGUUGACUAUAAAGAGCCAUCAUCAAUGGAUCUCUGAUAACAUGAUCAAUAUGGACCAAAAACGUAGAUCCAGUUACUUUUCACACACGGAAUUGGAAAUAUUAAUGCACGCAUAUGCCGAGCAGGAACACAUUUUCACCCAAAAAGCAAUACCGCCGCGGCAGCGAGAGCACGAGAGAGAGCUUGGCAGGAAAUAGCCGAACAAGUCAAUGCAUGAGUAAAAUAAAAUAGUAAAAUAAAAUAAGAGGAAAGUUUAAUAUCUUCCACUUAUUCAAUAUGCAAAUUGUGUGUGUGUGUCUGUGUGUGUCAAUUUACACAGGAACAACCCGAGUUGCCCCAAGAGGACUUGGCAGCAAAUGAAAAUGAAGUAUAAAAAUAUAGUUCAAACAGCAAAUCGAAAAAAAGCAGAGGCCCGGAAGACUGGAGGGGGUCCACCACCUGCAGCCCUCACAGUGGCUGAGGAGAUGGCCCUCAGCCAACAGAGUAUGCGUCCUGUGGCUGAGGGCAUCCCUGGGGGGAGCUCCUCUGAUCCCCCCCAGGAUAGAAGUGCCUUUAUCAGAGUUACUGAUGGCGUCAUCAACCUACUGGAACCAGAUGCCCUCACCAACCUCCAUGCAAUUGAAGAUGAUGGAGAAACAUUGUCUGCGGCAUUUGAAAGGGAAGAGGAAAGGCCUAUUGAGGAUGAAAUCGAAUUCAAUGAGAGGCCAUCCACUUCUAGCUCUACUUCACAGCUUACCUCUCUUCCAGUCAAAGAGCUCUAUAAAAUCUAUCUGGGAAAACAAAUAAACAAAGCAGACUUAGAAAUGGACCACAUAAGGCAAAAGAUGCAAAAGGAUGCUUUGGAGAUCCAAAUUUUGGAACACAAGUUAAAGGAAAUAAAGAAAUCCUCAUAAAAAGUAGAAUGUCUUUAUUAGAACACGGGCUGUGGUGGGACAAGUUAUUUUGUUGAACAGUGUCACCCCCUACCAGAGGCUGGGACUGUCACACGAGUUUACUAUCAUACAAACUUGACCUUGGGUGUCUUGAAAGGCGCCUCUAAAUUAAAUUUAUUAUUAUACAGGAAGGCGAAAGAAUGCCAAAGAAAACAUUUCGGAAAUAAUAAAAUACAUUUAACUAGGCCUACAUAGAAAACUCAAACAAAAUGAUUUUGGCAGAGUCUAUCUCUAACCACCCUUCCGUCCUGUGGAUCCAUGGCAUGGUUUGGGUUUAUGGGCUGCUCAUCUGCAACUGCAGGUGGGCAAUUUUCCCCUCUCCAAAUCGCGAUGUUGUGAAGAACCAC